GAUGCUGUCUUCCAGUGGCCAGCUCCCUAGCCUGUCCUCCUCAGCACUAUCAAUGUUGUUUUUCUUCCUAAGCUUCCAAGAUCAGGUCUGUGGCCAUCCCCAAGGAUCUGAGAACCACCUCUAAUCUGCAUCCUUCAGUGUAUUUCUUUUCUACUGAUAUUAGCCAGCGACAGUUUUUGGUCAAGUCUAGAUACACCCUAACAAACUAAGAUUCACCACACAGAUGAAGCAACCAAGGAACUGAAAGUCAUAUAACUUGCUUACAACCACAUCAUUAGAAAGAGAAUUAGAACUAGAGGCUGGAUCUACUGCUCCCUAACUAGAGAGCUUUGUAACUCCACACAGUGAAGAUGCCCAAUAAAUGUUAGUUUAAUUUAAUAUUUUGUGUGUUCUGUUAUAUAUUUUUAAAGCAUGUUUUCUACGGGGCCACAGUUUUAAAUUGUCGACUGAUGCAAGUGCUCCUGCAUGGAUGGUGCAAUUAUUCAAUAACAAUUAGGGAAACUUUGUAACUGUGGUUAGAAAGCAGAGAAAAACAAAAACCUGGGAAACUCCUUAUAUAACCUUUGUUUUUCAGAAAUGACUAAAUAUAUUUCAUCUUAGAAAAUAACAGCUAAAAUGAAGCAGUGUGCUGAAAAGAGAAUUGUAUGGAUAUUAAAUGGGCAAACAUCCAGUUAUUUUAUAUACGGGGUCUCAGAAACACAUUUUAUGGUGAUGUGGUUUGACUAAUGAAAGUUAACAAGAGAUGGCUACUUACUUCUUUGGAAAGAAACACCUUUGGGAUGGAUAUUCUUUCCUGUCUGUUCUUGAAAAAUGUGCCUUUGCUGUGAAGUUUUUAGACAAUUUAUUAUGGGGGGAUCUGUCUCUUAACUCAAUCUGCCAAGCUUGCAUGUCAUUCCAAUGGGAUAAUUUUAAUGUCCAUUUGUUGUUGUCUAUAACAUUACAUCUUCAUUUUUUUUCUCUUUUCCUUUCUAGGUAUCAAAUAGGCUGGUCAUUUUCACAAACUGUUGCCAAAAUAAUCCUAAAAGCCCAGAGCAGCAAAAAGAAGCAUGAAACUAUAAAGAUCCAGCACAGAAAUGGAAUGGAAGCAAGUACUACAUCGCUCUAA
rnacentral:lncRNA from 12 species